CAGUUAGUCAGUCAGUCAGUAACUGAGUAUGUAAGCAACUCGUUCAUUCACUUUCCCACUUACACACUCACUCACUUCUCAUUCAUUUAAAAUCUAUCUAUCUAUACGAGUAUACCAGGGCGGCAAUCCCACAAGGAAUGGCAUAGACGAAGCACCACACAUACAUACAUCACUCACACUCAUAGGCCCGUCGAUCCCCGGUGGAAAGGGAGCGUCUUGGAGACCACUGUACUACACUUAAACAUUGCUCAGUUGGCCACAUAGGUCCAUAGCAAGGCACGGCAGCAUACAGUGGUUUACUCCUGCUCCAUCACGAGACUGUUCCCUACCCCGCACCUACUCUAAUGCUCAGGCCACAAAAGAUGCAGGAUACUUCCGUAUAAUACCGUAUUGUAGUAAAAUUCACCGACUGUGAAAGUUAACGAAAUCACAUGCGGGUAGUGGGCACUCCUCUGACUGGGCGAACGCAGCAGCAGGAGGUAGGAGUUGGUGAUGGUAAGGAGGGAGAGGGAGGGGUGCAGGGGAGAGGCAGCAACAGAAGCAGGAGGAGGAGGAGGAGGAGGAGGAAGUGGCUUGCACCGCUCUCAUCUUAUACCAAUUAAGCCUUACACUAAUUUGAUUCACUUGCUAAUGAUAAUUUCACGACCUGUAUUCAUAUUGUGGUGUUUCAGAAUCAAUUUCCCUCACAGAUAUUCGUUACUUGAUACUUCAGGCGGCGAGGCGAGGAGCAAGGUGGGGACUAUUUGGCUGGGGGAAUGUAUACUGAGUACUGCGGUCCAGGAACGCGGAGGACCGAGGCACACGCAGAACGCCUCCUUCGAACCACCCGCCGACAGUUGUAAUCACUUCACUGUGCUGAACUACAUCACCAAUGCAAUUACUGGCUGUGUUGGAGGUCACGUCAAGCAGAGAGAGAACAACUACACGUCUGCGUCACUGGGCAAGGGCUGAUGCAAGAGAACUGAGGCAAUGGUCAAGGCACUUAAGAGGUUCAAAGAAAUUCAAGUGCUGAGUCCAGAUGAGGGAGUGAGUCAGAAUAUCGCACUCCUUUCCUAACUACUCAACCAGCCAACCAGUCAGUCAGCCAACCAGCCAGCCAGCCAGCCAACCAGCUAGCCAAACAAUUAUCCAGUCAGCCAGCCAACCAGCCAGUUAGCCAGCCAGCAAGUCAGCCAGUCAGCCAGUCAGCCAAAGUCCAAUCCAAUGCAAAUCAAGUAUGGGAGCAGAAUCAGGGAUCAGAGAAAACGUGACCUGGACGGAAGGUAAGGGGAGACAAAAAAAAAAAAGAAGGCAAGGAAAAAGAGAGGAAAAAAUAAAGAAAACAAGAGGGAGAGUGUGUAUAUCUCUGUCAGCCGCGGGGAUUCGAACUGAAGAAAUGAAAGUCGUAAAGAGAACGGUGACAGCAGCAGUGCGUCACCUCGCUCACCGCGCCUCGGAGCGGCACACCUUUGACACCAGUAAGACGUCACUCACUCACUGCCUGUCCGCGUGAUGUGACGAGAGCUGCCUCUGUCAGG